rnacentral:lncRNA from 1 species
CUGACUGCCAGUACUAUGCCUGCUUUUCAUUUCAUUUUAUUUAUUUAUUUAUUUUUGUCCCAGUGAUAAGAGUUUCGAAGCAGGCAACAGGCAACAAGGAAAAUUACAAGCGCGCUGAGAACCUCAUUCAAGAAGUCCCUAGGAGAGUGAGUCUAUAAAGAGGGCCCAGGUGUAGUGGCGCCGUAUCCUGAUCAUGCACCUGAGGAGUUCUAGCCACAUAAAUGAGCUUUGGAUGAACAGUGGAUUAUUAGACAAUACCAACUCAAGUCUGUGCUCCUGAAAAGGCAAACACAAAUCCAGCAGUGCCUCAGUCACAGGCCAAGAUGAUGACACGUUCGUUCAUAGAUUGGCAAAAAAGCUGGCUAGCAUUCAAGAGUGAUUUAUAAGUGAAUUUUCCUCUGCAGAACAAAAGGAGUGGAAAAAAAUUUACACAAAUGGGAAAAGGACUCUUGAGGGAGAAGGAGAGAGGAGAAUAUGGAAGAAACAGAAGGAGGGCAAGGAGAAUAGCAGUAUACAAGUGGACUGAGAGAGGAAAGAAGAAAACUGAGGGAUUCUUGGGGAAGCGGAAGGAAGGGGGUUGAAUACAAAAGAAGGAGGGAGGUGUGUAAAAUACCAAUAAAGAUUCU